AGUAGUCAUAAAAAAUGAUAGCGCCCAUUCACACAAAACUACAUGUGUCUCUCUUUUUUCUUUUACUAGAAGAUGUGUAUCCUUCAUUUUCUACCCACUUCAUCUGCUAGAACUCUCCAGUAACAUUCGUGUAUCAUUUCACUUGCCAACCAAAAAAAUCAAGCUCGUAACUUGACUACAAAAAAAAAUAAAAUAAAAGGAGUUUGUUGUACAAGUGGGAGGCAAAAAGAAAAGCAAACAGGCUUUGUCAUGAUAACCAGUUUUUUGAAGGCUCAACAACAUCUUGUGCUUUGCUUGGGUUUGCUCUUCGUUCAUUGCAGGACUUGGUCACCUGAGGGUUUAAUGGCAACAAUUGAGAAAUUUAUCAAAGAUAUCCACCCUUCAGAAACAAAAUGGAGGGUGAAAGUGAUUGUUCUAGAGAAAGGAAUGCCGAAAACUGCUCGAAAUGUUGCAAAAAGAUAUCAAAACUUACUACUAUCUGAUUCGCAGGUUAGCUGGUAAAUAUAUUAUCUCAUUUUCUUGUUCAAUUCUUCUUCUCUUAAAUUGUUUUUCUGAAGAUAAUAGAUAGCUAUUUUGAAGUUAAUUUUGAACAUUUUUUACUACUAAUUUUCGUUCAUUUACGGUAUUCUUUAGAUGUCACUAUUCAUUCUUCAACUUAAUUAUUUUCUAACUUUUAUGAUACGCAAAAUGUCUGCUCAUUUGUUCUUCAUUUUGCUAAAUGAAAAUUUUCUUCACUCUUGUAUAGAAAACACAAAUACAGGCCACUAUAUAUGAUGAUGACAUCGAGAAGUUUCAAAAUACAUUGACUGUUCACGGAUGCUACUAUAUAUCAAACGCCUAUGUCAAAUUUAUAAAACUACAAUAUCAAGUACUAGGGAUACCAUAUGAAUGGGUAAUAAGUAGUAGAUCUACUUUAGUUGAAAUGUGCCAGAGGAAGAUAUCUCAAUGUCAACUUCAGUAGAAUACAAUUUCACUCCUUUUGUUAGCUUCUUAGAUCAUAUGGAUCAAUCAACUUCAGUUGACUUGAUGGCAGUUGCAAUUAUUGUGAAUCCUAAGAAGCAAAUAUACACCAGUAAUGGUUUACAAGAGCUAAUAGUUGUUAAUGAAGAUUAAGAUUACAAAACAAAAUUCAUGUACAUUUAGAUUACAUUUCUUCAUUUUUGUUAAUAAUUUAAAGCUAUUAUACUGGAAAAAACCAAUUGGCCUGACAUGCUGGGGACAUUUUGUUGUUAAUGAAUGUACUACAAUUAAAAAACUAAUAGCUACUACACCUAUCAUUGUUGCUAGAUGUAUGAAAGUCACAUCAUUUAAUGGUAGAUCAUUAUCUCAUUUUAUUCUUUGAUUUCCCAUUACUUUUUUUAAACGUUAUUGUUAUCUUCCAAAUUUACAUGUAUUAUCAUGCUAACCAUUUUAUAUUUUGUAUUUUAGAAAUCUCAUUAUCAACAAAGAUAGGCAGCUCUCUCAUGAUCAAUCCAAAUGUUGCUAAAGUUCAAACACUGAGGCGUUGGUGUACUAAAAAUGAAAUUUUUCUUGAAGACCUCAGAAUGAAUAGGAAAACAUGCUUAGAAUCCAUGUCCCAUCUAAUAAAACCUCAACUACAUCUUAUGACACCUAUAAAUGCCAUUAAACCAGUGGAGGGUAAGACAUAUUGGACCACAGCUUGAAUUACUAUCACAAAUCCAACACAAACACUUUGGUACAUGGUAUGUAGCGAGUGCAAAAGAUUUACAACUGGUGACUUCAAUCAAGCGUUCACUUGUAUAAAAUACACUGAAAAUGCAACAGCUGAACCACGGUUUGUCUUACUUUUAACGCAUUCUACAUUUUCUGUUUUCCAUAUUUUAUAAAUUAUUUAUAAUUUCUCCAUUUCACUAUAUUAUCAGAUCAAACAUGUUUUAUUUUAUAAAAAAUAACUUCAGUUCAAAUUCACACGUGACACAACAUUACAUAUAGUAUGUUACAUUGUAAUGUAUUAAGAACUAGAAUCACUGUACAACUUAUUGACUCAAGUGGUUCCUUGGAGGCAAUAAUGUUUGGUAAAAAGGCUGAAAUGUUCUUAUGUUGCUGCACCUCAGACCUUGUCAAAUUUACAACUCAGGAAACAAUUAAUCAGCUACAUAAAAUAAACCAUGCAGUAGGUAAAAAAAGAUACUUCUUUUACUUGAGAACUAUGAAACUAAUACUUGGUUUUCCAACAGAUAUAAAAUAUACCAUCAGUACUAUGCUGCCAAGUGAAAAAAUCGAGCAACUAAAUCAUCAAAAUGCAACCGAUCACCAAGUUUCUCCUACCUUAUAUGCAAACAAAAAGCUUAGAUAAAAUGUUCAAUCUAUUGAUGCUUCACUAUCUUCAUUGGAAAACCCCUCAAUCACAGUAAAUCUUGAUGAAGACAACAGAUUUCUAGAUGCGUCACCUUCUUCGCUAAAUAACUCUUCCCCAACUUCGAAUGACAUUUCAUCGGUUUCAUCCAGUGAAGUAACAAAGAAUUAAUUACUGCCUCUAAUAUUUCUUUUUGAAUGUGACUGUCAAUUUGAGUAACUGACAGCCUUAAAGUAGUAUCUGUAAAUUCUUUUGAUUGUCAAUAUCGAUAACUAACCGCCCUUAAAUA